CUCUGGGAUAAGCGCUGGAAACGGCGUCUAAUACUGGAUAUGAGGCGUGGCCGCAUGGUCAUGUUUGGAAAGAAUUUCGGUCUGGGAUGGGCUCGCGGCCUAUCAGCUUGUUGGUGAGGUAAUGGCUCACCAAGGCGUCGACGGGUAGCCGGCCUGAGAGGGUGACCGGCCACACUGGGACUGAGACACGGCCCAUACUCCUACGGGAGGCAGCAGUGGGGAAUAUUGCGCAAUGGGCGGAAGCCUGAUGCAGCAACGCCGCGUGAGGGAUGACGGCCUUCAGGUUGUAAACCUCUUUUAACAGGGAAGAAGCGAAAGUGACGGUACCUGCAGAAAAAGCGCCGGCUAACUACGUGCCAGCAGCCGCGGUAAUACGUAGGGCGCAAGCGUUAUCCGGAAUUAUUGGGCGUAAAGAGCUCGUAGGCGGUUUGUCGCGUCUGCUGUGAAAUCCCGAGGCUCAACCUCGGGCCUGCAGUGGGUACGGGCAGACUAGAGUGCGGUAGGGGAGAUUGGAAUUCCUGGUGUAGCGGUGGAAUGCGCAGAUAUCAGGAGGAACACCGAUGGCGAAGGCAGAUCUCUGGGCCGUAACUGACGCUGAGGAGCGAAAGGGUGGGGAGCAAACAGGCUUAGAUACCCUGGUAGUCCACCCC
rnacentral:rRNA from 1 species